rnacentral:rRNA from 1 species
GUCGUAACAAGGUUUCCGUAGGUGAACCUGCGGAAGGAUCAUUACUGUGAUAAAAACUACCUCGUGCAUUGUUUUGUAUGUCUGCCUACGCAUGCUCUACACGAGCGUGCUGGCGUCGCAUCGUCCUAACCGGCGUUCGACGGACCCUCGUGCCUCGCGCCUCGCUUGUCGAGUGCCGAGCCUUUGGGUUGGCUUUCUUACUCAAUACACACCUUAAAUCUGUCGAGAAAUCCAUGUGAGUUGUGAUUCCAUUCUUCGUGAAUGAGUCGCUUUAACCAAAUACAACCCUCAACAACGGAUAUCUUGGCUCUCGCAACGAUGAAGAACGCAGCGAAAUGCGAUACGUAGUGCGAAUUGCAGGAUGUAUGCGAGUCAUCGAAUCUUUGAACGCAUAUUGCGCUCGAGGCUUCGGCCAAGAGCAUGUCUGCCUGAGCGUCACUGAUACCUAUCGACUUCCAUCUUUUUGGAGGUCGGACCUGACCUUUUCCCAGGUGCGUCUUCGGACGCCUGGGUGGGUUGAAGUGCAGAGGCGCGGGCGCUUUCUCCCGCGGAUUCCAGUCUCACGACUGGAACUCCAUGUAGCGUGGUCAGCAGAUUUCUGCUUUCGAUCGCUGCGACGGUGGAUGCGCUUCGCUGCCGACAACCAACUUUUAUUUAUCUUAUGACCUCAGAUCAGGCAAGAUUACCCGCUGAACUUAAGCAUAUCACUAAGCGGAGGAAAAGAAACUAACCAGGAUUCCUAUAGUAACGGCGAGUGAACUAGGAAAAGCCCAACUGAAAAUCCUUCGGGAAUUGUAGUCUAAAGAAGCAAUCUCUGUGUCGUCCACGGCCCAAGUUCCCUGGAAAGGGACGCCGGAGAGGGUGAGAGCCCCGUCGGCUGUGUUUCGUCACUCCACGAGAUGCUUUCUCAGAGUCGGGUAGUUUGGGAAUGCUGCCCUAAUUUGGAGGUAAAUUCCUUCUAAGGCUAAAUACUGGCGAGAGACCGAUAGCGAACAAGUACCGUGAGGGAAAGAUGAAAAGCACUUUGAAAAGAGAGUUAAAAGGGCUUGAAAUUGUUGAGGGGGAAGGAAAUGGUUGCCGGUGUGCACUUUGGUUUUAUGUUAAGUUAACGCUUAGCCUAUCAACGCAUUGUGCUGGUCAGCGUGGGUUGGACGGGCGGUAUAACCACGUACUGCCGCCUGUCCGACCGAGGUCGGAGGUAACGCUCGAGACGCUGUCGGAAGGUAACCACUUCACCCGUCUUGAAACACGGACCAAGGAGUCUAACAUGUAUGCGAGUCGGCGGGUGGAAAACCCGUAGGCGCAAGUAACCUAACAGGUGGGAUUUUUGCACCAUCGACCAACCUUGAUCUUCUGUGAAGGGUUUGAGUACGAGCAUACCUGUUGGGACCCGAAAGAUGGUGAACUAUGCGUGA